rnacentral:misc_RNA from 1 species
AAAUUUUCCUUUAAUCACCGUUUGGUUUCUGAGAAAACAUCGAAAUCUGAAUUUCCUGUUUAAAAUAGCUAAUUAAGCCCUAACACAACUUUCUGUUCCGAUCCAUUUCUCGUCACUUUUGAUAAUUUCAUAUGCAGAAUAUCUGAGAUUUCAUAUGUUUUAUAUCAUUUAGUUGGAUUUCUUCUAGCCUAUGGUUCGAUGCCAGUGAAUGCGAGUUUGCAAUUAUGUUUGAUGAGCAUUUAAGCUAUCUGUUUGAUGUUAUGCAUGAAAGAGGGGCUAGGUUGAGAUAGCUUUAUGCUAAGAAUUUAAUAGCUUUAUGCUAAGAAUUUAUCUAUAUGGUGUGCUAGGCCCUGCCCCUUUCAGCUUCUUGUGUAAGAGUAGCCGGACAAGGGGUACUCAUCAGCUUAAUUGUCUGUGUUUUUAUAUUUGAAUGAGCCCUUUGGUGUUAAAAGCAAAAAAAAAUUAAAAUAAAAAAAUCUGUUAGUUAUUUGUAUAGGCAGAAACAAUCUUCCAAAUAGAGCAAGGGAAGAGGAAAAAUUAUGAUGAUAUUUAAAAACCCUAGUUGGUAGAGGUGAUUCAUAAAAUUGAAUUAGGAGUCCAUUCAUAGCAGAUCUGACUUCUGAAACUACUUUUAAUAGAUUUAAUCUCAUACACAUUUGGAAAAUAUUGAGGUUUGACUUACUAUGUCGAUGUAAAUAUUGUUUGUGACUUUGUAGGGUAUGGAUACAUCAAAACCUGCAAUUUUUGUUAAUGGAGGACUGUUACCCAUGCAUGUGCGGAAGAGGGUCCGGACUGUCGUUCAGGUUAUCGGAUCUGAUCGUGGAGCUGUAAUAGGAAAAUCAACAGAUGACCAACAACUUUCUGUUAAAGGCGCCCCACCAUCUGUUCCUCUUACAAAUUUUGUUGAGGUUAUUGGCAUUGCUGACAGUGAAAAAUCCAUCCAAGCUGAAAUAUGGACCAACUUUGGGGACACAUUUGAUACAUAUUCCUACAACCAGCUUUGUCAGCUUGCAAAUGGUGAAUAUCAGCUCUUGUUCCUCUGAGGUGUAUUGGCUUUAUUUGUAGUGAAGUUUUGAGGUGCUUUUGGUCCUCGAUGUAACUAGAUGUCGAUGUCAAUAAAUUUUGGCUAGUUUUGAAUCUUUGGUUACUAUUUUGGGUAUUUCUUGAACCAAUAUUUUAGUUGCAAAUUUGGCCCUUCAAAAACCUUAUAUUACUUUAUAAACUUUCUUUCAAAGAGAGGCUUAUAGUUUAAUUAGAAAAAAAAAUUGUAAUUAAGAAUAAAUUAGCAUUUUUUAUUGUCUU